rnacentral:rRNA from 1 species
AUGUCGUCAUCCAAUAGUUCCGAGGAUAACCAUCAUGAUCAAGAAGACACGAAUCAGAUUCACCCUGAUGAUCUAGGUCAACUGGAAGAUGAAGAACCGCACCGAGAUCGUGUUCUUAGUGAGGGAUCCUCACGAAAGUGUAAGAAACUAAAGAUGCAUGAUCAUAAUCUGCCUAUUCAGUUCCCAACCACUCUUUCCACAAACCACUUUGAUAACCUAAUCCGACGCCGUGAGGUGCAUCACAUCCCUCGUGCACAUGUCCCCUCAGCCUGGGAUAUCCAGCGUGACACGGGGUCAAAUGCACAAAGGAAAGAUGGUUGGGGUACCAAAAACUAUGAUAUUCUGCAGGCACAUCAGCGUACUAGCAUGUUGGUGCAGACUUUGAUUAACCAAAUGGAUCAUUUGACGGAGGUGGUCAUGAAGCAUAUCCAAGCAUGCGACAAGAAGCCACCACCACCAUGA